rnacentral:rRNA from 1 species
AACGAACGCUGGCGGCAUGCCUAACACAUGCAAGUCGAACGAGACCUUCGGGUCUAGUGGCGCACGGGUGCGUAACGCGUGGGAACCUGCCCUUAGGUUCGGAAUAACUCACCGAAAGGGGUGCUAAUACCGGAUAAUGUCUUCGGACCAAAGAUUUAUCGCCUUUGGAUGGGCCCGCGUUGGAUUAGCUAGUUGGUAGGGUAAAAGCCUACCAAGGCGACGAUCCAUAGCUGGUCUGAGAGGAUGAUCAGCCACACUGGGACUGAGACACGGCCCAGACUCCUACGGGAGGUAGCAGUGGGGAAUAUUGGACAAUGGGCGAAAGCCUGAUCCAGCAAUGCCGCGUGAGUGAUGAAGGCCUUAGGGUUGUAAAGCUCUUUUACCCGGGAUGAUAAUGACAGUACCGGGAGAAUAAGCUCCGGCUAACUCCGUG